UCCUGCCAUCUAUUAGUGUCUGCAUGCAUCAUUUUCCUGUAUGUCGGCCAAGACACUCAACAUAUUGACAGCACUUCAUAGCUCAGAGGCCCCGGUUCAUAACUUUAUUUUGUUCAGUACUUUAUCAAUUUUAAAUCUAAAUUGAGAUGUAAAUUUCAGACCAUAAACUUAUCUAGAGACUAUCUAGAUUUCUGAAUUCGCAAAUGGUGUUGAAAAUGAUGAAAGGUUAGUGCGAUGAAACAAAGCGAAUUCCCCAUCAGUCCCCAUUAAUUCUCUAAACACUCUAACCUGUUUCAAACACUAGUAAGUAGACACAUCAGUACUGUGUAAAGAAAUAAGAUAAAACCGUUAUGUGUGAUUGGAAGUAAGUAGGAGAGGAUCCGGUGACCUAGAAAUAUUGGCAUCACGCCCAAUACCGUGGCUACAUGUUGAAAAGGGGGACUUUUAAGAGUAAAUCCGCCAGAAAAUCAUACAAAAUACCAAAAAUCGUCCAAAAGGGCUGUCACAAGGCAAGAUUUCUUUGUUGCUUAUUUUCUUCAUACGUGUUGAAAUCAGAAUGUCGUCAAAAAAUUUUCCAACUCCACAUCUAUUUUUAGUAACAUUUCAUUUGCAUAUUAGUAAGAAUUCAUAAUGAAUUUAUGAGGAAUAUAUUCACAAUUUCGUUGAUUCUGGAAUACGUUAUUAUAAUUCUUUUUCUUCAAAAUCUAUAUUUGCUAUAAAGAUAUGUUAUCAACUGUUUUUGAAGAAAAAGGCAUUAUUUACACUUUUAAUAUCUCAUUUGAUUUUUAAAUGUCAAGCUCAAUGAUAUGCUUUAAUGAUGUUUAGUAGUCUAUUUUGACGUAAGUGUAAAAAAGAAUUAUUUCUCAGCCUGCUCUUGGAAAAUUUAACCCUUGCAAUAGGGCCACACAGUCUCGCUUCCGGUGGAGAACUUCCGGAGAAAAGCACACAUUUCUCAGUAUAACAAUAGACUAUGAAUUGGCUCAUUUGAGUUAAAAGAAACAAUCAUAACUUUGUAUUCGUGUUUGCGUGUUGUCAACUUGGUUUACGGCGAACAUGUAAGGUGUCCAGGAUCCUAUCUACUCCCGGGCUAGCGAAAAACGGGGGGGAUGCAGAGAUGACUGAAAACAACAGAAGCAAUAGCUGUUUAAGGACGGUGUGAAGGAUAAAGACCCCCCUCUUCACCAUUUAACAGCUGUUCCAUAUCUUCGCCUUUCAUGUAGUUGUGUAUUGUUAACCCUCCCCUUUUCUUCCGCCACAAAGGCAUUACUGGUAUAUAUAGAUGAAAACUGAUGACAAGCUUAAUAAUAAUAUGAACUGGUCUAUUAGACUCUCAUCGAGUUUAUACAUGAAAAUACAAUAUACAUGUGGUCUGUAAAAUUUAUGUAUACAUGUAUAUGCAUUCAUAAAUAUUUUUCUUAAAAUUUUCAGGUAACGGUAGAAUCUCAUGUUUUAUAUCAUUUGCACUUUUUCAAUUCUGAAACCUUGUGUAAAACUUGUUUCAUACCAGAAUCCAAAGCAUCAGUAGCGUGACCUAAAUGAAUCUAAAACACAGGUCAGAUUUAUGAUUAUGAAGAAUACCUUUUGACUGAGUGGUGUCACAUGUGGGUUUUGGAUAUUGUAAAUGUCACAUUUAAGAAUUAGGGCAAAAUUUUAAAUGUAUGACAAAACGCUAAAAUUGCUAAAUUAAUUCACAUGUAGGUAUUUUCCCUAAGACCCCUACCUACGAAACUAAACUUGAUGAAUGUUGAUUCAAAUAAUUCUAUAAAGCAAUACAAUUAUUGAUACAUGUAGCUCUGUGAUUAACUUUUAUUCAAUAUCAAUAAUUAGAUACCAUCAAAGUAUAUCCCUUCUAGAAAACACACCUUUUCAUGCAUUGAUUUAUGUUUUUAACCCAUCAAGUAUCAGAAUGUAGAUUUUUAGCAGACAUCAAUCAAUCUUUUAAUCUCAAAAUCCAUUUGUUGUGCAGAUCCAAAAAAAUAUGCUUGAAUCUAACAAUGGAAGGGAUAUGUAAUUCUUCAUUUCCAUAUACAUGUAUUUAACUGAAUUCUGCAGUUUUAUUUACACAAUGCAUUUAUUAUUUCCUUGUACAUUAUACUUCCUUGCUAUUUACAGUGAUUUUUUUAAUUUCCGUUUAUUUGAAGAUAAUGGGGUUACUGCUUGGUGGUUUAUUGGAUUGUGAAAAGUGACACUGGAUCAACGAAUUACCAGAGCAAUCCAUUCCAGGGUAGAUUAUGAAAGCUGAUUUGCUCUUGUUGAUUUUAACACUACAAAAUAUUUCUUGUUAGUAAAAUAUUGAAGUAUUAUCCUUCAUGAUAUACAAAUGUAGAUUAAGGAUUAAAAUAUAAUAAAAGUCUUCACCA